rnacentral:rRNA from 1 species
CCUACGGGUGGCAGCAGUGAGGAAUAUUGGUCAAUGGGCGAGAGCCUGAACCAGCCAAGUCGCGUGAGGGAGUACUGCCCUAUGGGUUGUAAACCUCUUUUGUCGGGGAGCAAAGGCCGGACGUGUCCGGCUGUGAGAGUACCCGAAGAAAAAGCAUCGGCAAACUCCGUGCCAGCCGCCGCGGUAAUACGGAGGAUGCGAGCGUUAUCCGGAUUUUAUGGGUUUAAAGGGGGCGCGGGGGGGUUUUUAAGUCAGCGGUAAAAUCGGGGGGCUAAACCCCAUCCAGCCGUUGAAACUGGGGAUCUAGAGAGUGCGAGAGGUAUGCGGAAUGCGUGGUGUAGCGGUGAAAUGCAUAGAGAUCACGCAGAACCCCGAUUGCGAAGGCAGCAUACCGGUGCACAACUGACGCUCAGGCACGAAAGCGUGGGUAUCGAACAGGAUUAGAUACCCUAGUAGUC